rnacentral:rRNA from 1 species
CACGUAGUUAGCCGGGGCUUCUUAGUCAGGUACCGUCUGGCGACCCAAAGGUCGCUAUUUCUUCCCUGCUGAUAGAGCUUUACAUACCGAAAUACUUCUUCACUCACGCGGCGUCGCUGCAUCAGGGUUUCCCCCAUUGUGCAAUAUUCCCCACUGCUGCCUCCCGUAGGAGUUUGGGCCGUGUCUCAGUCCCAAUGUGGCCGUUCACCCUCUCAGGCCGGCUACUGAUCGUCGCCUUGGUGAGCCAUUACCCCGCCAACAAGCUAAUCAGACGCGGAACCAUCGUAUACCACCAGAGUUUUUCACACCACUUCAUGCGAAGCUGUGCGCUUAUGCGGUAUUAGCACCUAUUUCUAAGUGUUAUCCCCCAGUAUACGGCAGGUUUUCCACGCGUUACUCACCCGUCCGCCACUAACUCAUAAAUCACUAGGUUUCAAUAUGAGUCCGUUCGACUUGCAUGUGUUAAGCACGCCGCCAGCGUUCAUCCUGAGCCAGGAUCAAA